rnacentral:rRNA from 1 species
CCCUUAGAUGUUCUGGGCCGCACACGCGCUACACUGAAGGAGGCAGCGUGUGCUCCUGGAUCGAAAGAUUUGGGUAACCCGCGAAUCUCCUUCGUGCUAGGGAUUGAGGUUUGCAAUUAUCCUUCAUGAACGAGGAAUUCCCAGUAAGUGCAAGUCAUAAGCUUGCGCUGACUACGUCCCUGCCCUUUGUACACACCGCCCGUCGCUACUACCGAUUGAAUGAUUUAGUGAGGACUUCGGACUGGGACCGAUGCGGCUUUCGGGCUGCGUCGGUAUUCUGGAAAGAUGUCCAAACUGUAUCAUUUAGAGGAAGUAAAANUCGUAACA